CCCUUAGAUGUUCUGGGCCGCACAUGCGCUACACUGAAGGAGGCAGCGUGUACUCCUGGAUCGAAAGAUUUGGGUAACCCGCGAAUCUCCUUCGUGCUAGGGAUUGAGGUUUGCAAUUAUCCUUCAUGAACGAGGAAUUCCCAGUAAGUGCAAGUCAUAAGCUUGCGCUGACUACGUCCCUGCCCUUUGUACACACCGCCCGUCGCUACUACCGAUUGAAUGAUUUAGUGAGGACUUCGGACUGGGACCGAUGCGGCUUUCGGGCUGCGUCGGUAUUCUGGAAAGAUGUCCAAACUGUAUCAUUUAGAGGAAGUAAAAGUCGUANCA
rnacentral:rRNA from 1 species